rnacentral:rRNA from 1 species
AGCCUAAAGUAAACCAUCUUAGGUAAAUUCUGCCCAGCGUAAAAAUAAUUAGCGGCCGCAGUACCUUGACUGUGCUAAGGUAGCAUAAUCAAUUGGCUUUUAAUUGAAGUCUGGAAUGAACGGGUUAAUGGGAAUUUACUGUCUUUAUGAUAUUUUUUUGAAUUUAUUUAUUAAGUGAAAAUACUUACACGUAGAAAAAAGACGAGAAGACCCUUAGAAUUUUUAAUAAAAAAAUUAUUUUAUUUUUAUUUUUUUGUUGGGGCGACAUUGAAACAUUUUAAACUUUCUUUCUCACAUGACAUUAAGAUUUGAAAGAUUAAAUUACCUUAGGGAUAACAGCAUAAUUAAUUUUUUUAGUUUGUGACCUCGAUGUUGGACUAGGAACUAAAAGACUAACCGUCAAAAUAGAUUGUUCUGUUCGAACAGAAAUUCUU